UCAAACAUAGUCUGAGUUUUUUAUCUAACAUCAUUUCACUUAUAUUUUCUGAGGAAAUUUGUUUUUUCCAGCAAGAAAUCUCUAUUUGAAACAAAGUCAUCUGCUGAUUCUGCUACACCAGCAGUUAGGCUCUUCUAUUUCUUUCCUCUCAAUUUCUACAUCAGUCUGAAGGGCAAAAAAAAAAAAAAAAAAAAAAAAAAAAAUCAUCAUAAGGGGCAGGGUUUUGAAUUGUAUAAGAGCAACUAGUUCUUUCCUAUAAUAAUCCCAAAUUGGCUAUAAAUUCUACCCAAAUCUCUUCACCAAUAUACUAUAAUAUUGAAUGGGAAGUUAUUCAGAAAUCACAGUUUCAGCUCCUAGGAGCAGUGGUAUAUGAAGGGUUGCCAUGGAGGUGGAGAGGUGGAAGCACUCCACCCCAGGUAUAGGCAAUAAUAGCACUGGCUGUAGGAAAUUUAAAGAAAUAAUAAAAUAGACUAAACACUGGUCUGCUUUUUAUUGUCACAAGGUAUUUUCAUUCUAAACAAUGUCAGGGGUCAAACACUCCGCCCUACUAGAUUAGAACACUCUCUCUGUGCCAAACCCUCCCUACAAAGUCCCCUUCUCACUGCCUUUUUCUCCUCUGCCCUACUUGGCCAGGGAUGCUGUUACCAGAAGUAGGGAAUACUGUACUCUUCUAUUGUUGUUUUCUUUACAGUGAUAUGAAUGUUGAUAUUUGAUAAUGUAAUGAUAAAUACAGAGCCCAUUAAGUGGCAACAUCCCA
rnacentral:lncRNA from 1 species